rnacentral:rRNA from 1 species
CACGUAGGGUGCGAGCGUUGUCCGGAAUUAUUGGGCGUAAAGAGCUCGUAGGCGGUGUGUCGCGUCGGCCGUGAAAACCUGCAGCUUAACUGUGGGCUUGCGGUCGAUACGGGCAUCACUGGAGUUCGGCAGGGGAGACUGGAAUUCCUGGUGUAGCGGUGAAAUGCGGCAGAUAUCAGGAGGAACACCGGUGGCGAAGGCGGGUCUCGUGG